rnacentral:rRNA from 1 species
UACAGAGGUCCCAAGCGUUGUUCGGAUUCAUUGGGCGUAAAGGGUGCGUAGGUGGCGCCGUAAGUCAGGUGUGAAAUCUCGGGGCUUAACUCCGAAACUGCAUUUGAUACUGCGGUGCUUGAGGACUGGAGAGGAGACUGGAAUUCAUGGUGUAGCAGUGAAAUGCGUAGAGAUCAUGAGGAAGACCAGUGGCGAAGGCGGGUCUCUGGACAGUUCCUGACACUGAGGCACGAAGGCCAGGGGAGCAAACGGG